CCUAUACAGUGCACUACUUUAGACCAGGCCCCUAUAGAACCCUAUUCCCUAUACAGUGCACUACUUUUGUGCCAUUUGGGAUACAGGCCAUAUCAUGUGCUGGCUGUCGGGUGAGUUGGUUUGUGUUGGAGGCUGUUGAGGCUAAAGGUUGUGGAGGCUGUUGAGGCUGGGGGCCAGCCUGGACCUGAUUGUGUGUGUUGUAUAUCCUGUAGUCUGUUCAUUGUCUUACGUCAGAGAGCACACCGAUUCCACCUGCAACCAUCGGAUGAGGGACGAGCCUCGCGUAGAAGUGACGCCACCUGACGUAAGACAAUGGUACAACUCUGACGCAGCUGACCAUAGGUCAGGGCCCGGUUAGUUACGGUGAGGCAGAGCAGACCAUAGGUCAGAGCCCGGUUAGUUACAGUAACUCAGAGCAGACCAUAGGUCAGGACCCGGUUAGUUACUGUAACUCAGAGCAGACCAUAGGUCAGGACCCGGUUAGUUACAGUAACUCAGAGCAGACCAUAGGUCAGGACCCGGUUAGUUAUGGUAAGGCAGAGCAGACCAUAGGUCAGGACCGGUUAGUUACGGUAAGGCAGAGCAGACCAUAGGUCAGGAUCCGGUUAGUUACGGUAACUCAGAGCAGACCAUAGGUCAGGAUCCGGUUAGUUACGGUAACUCAGAGCAGACCAUAGGUCAGGACCCGGUUAGUUACGGUAACUCAGAGCAGACCAUAGGUCAGGAACCGGUUAGUUACGGUAACUCAGAGCAGACCAUAGGUCAGAGCCCGGUUAGUUACAGUAACUCAGAGCAGACCAUAGGUCAGAGCCCGGUUAGUUACGGUAACUCAGAGCAGACCAUAGGUCAGGACCCGGUUACUUACGGUAACUCAGAGAUGGCUCUCCAUUCACACUGUAUAGAGAUCUAGCAUGUCUGUCCUAAACAAUCAAUAAAGAUGUCUUACUAUCAAAA